GAGGUGGAGGAUUGCUUGAGCCUGGGAGUUUAAGGCUGCAGUGAGCCAUGAUCAUGCCACUGCACUCCAGCCUGAGUGACAGAGCAAGACC
rnacentral:miRNA from 1 species